rnacentral:tRNA from 1 species
AAGGAUUUAAGUUAACUAAACUAGUAACCUUCAAAGUUAAAAAUAUAAAAAUUUUAUAAACCUUA